rnacentral:ncRNA from 2 species
UACGGAGGAUGCGAGCGUUAUCCGGAUUUAUUGGGUUUAAAGGGUGCGCAGGCGGUCUGUUAAGUCAGCGGUCAAAGCCCGGGGCUCAACCCCGGCCCGCCGUUGAAACUGGCAGUCUCGAGUUGGAGAGAAGUAUGCGGAAUGCGCGGUGUAGCGGUGAAAUGCAUAGAUAUCGCGCAGAACUCCGAUUGCGAAGGCAGCAUGCCGGCUCCACACUGACGCUGAGGCACGAAAGCGUGGGUAUCGAACAGG